UAUUGACUGCCCUAGCAGACAAGCCAAGACAAUAGAUUUAUUAAGGAGACUUAAUUAUG
rnacentral:ncRNA from 1 species